AUUGAACGCUGGCGGCAGGCCUAACACAUGCAAGUCGAGCGGUAGAGAGGAGCUUGCUUCUCCUGAGAGCGGCGGACGGGUGAGUAAUGCCUAGGAAUCUGCCUAGUGGUGGGGGAUAACGUUCGGAAACGGACGCUAAUACCGCAUACGUCCUACGGGAGAAAGCGGGGGACCUUCGGGCCUCGCGCCAUUAGAUGAGCCUAGGUCGGAUUAGCUAGUUGGUGAGGUAACGGCUCACCAAGGCGACGAUCCGUAACUGGUCUGAGAGGAUGAUCAGUCACACUGGAACUGAGACACGGUCCAGACUCCUACGGGAGGCAGCAGUGGGGAAUAUUGGACAAUGGGCGAAAGCCUGAUCCAGCCAUGCCGCGUGUGUGAAGAAGGUCUUCGGAUUGUAAAGCACUUUAAGUUGGGAGGAAGGGUAGUAACCUAAUACGUUGCUACUUUGACGUUACCGACAGAAUAAGCUCCGGCUAACUCCGUGCCAGCAGCCGCGGUAACAC
rnacentral:rRNA from 1 species